rnacentral:rRNA from 1 species
GACGAACGCUGGCGGCGUGCUUAACACAUGCAAGUCGAACGGAAAGGCCCUGCUUUUGUGGGGUGCUCGAGUGGCGAACGGGUGAGUAACACGUGAGUAACCUGCCCUUGACUUUGGGAUAACUUCAGGAAACUGGGGCUAAUACCGGAUAUGAGCUCCUGCUGCAUGGUGGGGGUUGGAAAGUUUCGGCGGUUGGGGAUGGACUCGCGGCUUAUCAGCUUGUUGGUGGGGUAGUGGCUUACCAAGGCUUUGACGGGUAGCCGGCCUGAGAGGGUGACCGGCCACAUUGGGACUGAGAUACGGCCCAGACUCCUACGGGAGGCAGCAGUGGGGAAUAUUGCACAAUGGGAGGAAGCCUGAUGCAGCAACGCCGCGUGCGGGAUGACGGCCUUCGGGUUGUAAACCGCUUUCGCCUGUGACGAAGCGUGAGUGACGGUAAUGGGUAAAGAAGCACCGGCUAACUACGUG